rnacentral:misc_RNA from 1 species
AAAGAUCGCAGCCUGCGGCAGCUCCUACAGGGAUACCGCAUUCCAGUGUAGGAGCUGCCGCAGGCUGCGAUCUUU